AACGAACGCUGGCGGCAUGCCUAACACAUGCAAGUCGAACGGGAUCCUAGCUUGCUAGGUGAGAGUGGCGGACGGGUGAGUAACACGUGGGAAUCUGCCUUUUGGUUCGGGAUAACCGCGGGAAACUGCGGCUAAUACCGAAUGCCCUCGAGAGAGGAAAGAUUUAUCGCCAGAAGAGGAGCCCGCGUCCGAUUAGGUAGUUGGUGGGGUAAAGGCCUACCAAGCCGACGAUCGGUAGCUGGUCUGAGAGGAUGAUCAGCCACACUGGGACUGAGAUACGGCCCAGACUCCUACGGGAGGCAGCAGUGGGGAAUAUUGGACAAUGGGGGCAACCCUGAUCCAGCGAUGCCGCGUGAGUGAUGAAGGCCUUAGGGUUGUAAAGCUCUUUUGCCAGGGAAGAUGAUGACUGUACCUGGAGAAUAAGCCCCGGCUAACUUCGUGCCAGCAGCCGCGGUAAU
rnacentral:rRNA from 1 species